rnacentral:tRNA from 1 species
GGCUUUAUAGUCAAUAAUGACAUUAGACUGCAAUUCUAAAGGAGUAUAAAUAUAGUAUUACUAAGGCUU